UUUCUCCAUCCUAGUAAUCAAAUUUGAGCAAAAUCAAAUGGGGCUUUCUAUGAAAGUACCUUUUGUUGAUCUGAACGAGCUGGUAAUUUACAAAAUACCCUUCCUUUGUGAGGAAGGCUAAAGAAAAAAAGAAUCAGUAGCUUUUAAAGCUGGGCCUUAGUGGGACUCUAAAUGCAAUGAAAGCAGUCUGUGUUGAGAGACUGAAAUGCAUUUCAAAGCCAGGCCUGAUUCGGGGUACAAGGAAGAACAGACCUAUGUGCAUUUUGUAGGAAGAAAACUGUGAAUGGAAAAAGGAGAAGGGGAGAGAAACGGGGGAAAUCUGGAUAAUACAUUAAAGUAACCAUAAUUUUGGAGAUGCAUUCAUCUUAUUGAAAAUAUAUUUCCUCAUGGUUGUGAUUCCUCUUCACUCUUUUGAAUUUGGAAGGAUGGCAUACACAUCUGAAAAAUACCACUACUUCCUUCAUUGGACUGCAAGGUAUUUCUGUUUGGAAAAGUAAUGGAGUCCAGUCAACUUCAUUGAUCGCCAAGGACUGUCAAAAUUAUAAAACUUGCUGUGGAGCUCUGACAUGCCAGAAGCCGCUAGAAAAAGAAGUUUGACAUUCAGAAACUUAUCAAGAGGUUCUACUCUUUGGAUAGAGACCAAAAUCAUACUUUGAAAAAGCCUGACAGGUUUCUUCGGAAAAGUGGCCAUCCAUGGAAUGAAUGAAAUGUUCUCUUUCUAUUCCAUGCAAUGGAAACUUCAGCUAUCUGUGGUCUAGUCUGAACUGUACCUGGGGUAGUGACAAUGGCCUUCUGACCCUAUGGCUCUUCCUGACUGUGGAUAGAAUUGAUAGCACUUUUUCAAUUUCUCCCUUGUCUUUGCUUGAACAUACUGGAAUUACAACCUCUGACAAAGGGGAUUGCAGUGGCAAAGCUAGGCUAGGUCUUGGAGGCUGGUGUAAGGCGAUGUGGGUGAAGGCAGGAGGCUGAUGGAAAGACUGGGGGGAAGAAAAGCCGAAAUGGAUUCACGGUGCCUUGGAUGAAGGACGAGAGGGGAACUGCAAGCUCCUUCAACUGGUUCUGUCCGGUGAGAAGUGAUCAAGCUUGGGCUGACAAGAGGCUCAGGGAGCCCUCACGUUCUUUCGCUUUUUUACCUGCCAAUCAAACUGCUACAAGACAACACCCUGAUCUGGCAUGGACAUCGCGGGUCCAAGCCUGUAGCCCCAAAUCGGAUAAUCUCUGCAGCUGAUAACAAGCAAAAGAGAAGCCAGGCAACAGCCAUAUUAAAGAAGAAAACAAUCAACUCUGAGCAGGAAGAAAUGUAAUGAAUUGAGUGCUGUCAGAGAUGUCUUCUGUUUGAACAAUCUGCGAUGGGCUGAAUGGCAGGGACUCCCUCAUCCAGUGCAGAUCCAACUUAGAAAUAAUGUUUCAUUCAAGAUAAGGCUCGUGGCUUAGGAGAUUGUGACCUGGCUUGCAUCAUUCUAAGACUUCUAUCGUCUGUUUUCAAAACCCAAGGAGGACCUCCUUUUCUGUGUGAUAGUUCCUCAUGCUUUGCCAGCCACUGGGUCUUUAAGGAAGCUUGCCAAGAGUUCCCGGCUGGGAAGGACAGUUCGAGUUCAUCAUAGACAAUGAGCUGGCACCACAGUUUAAGUGACUCACCAACCUGGUUGCCCACUUCAAAAUGUCAAGAACCACACUAUCUAAUUGAAAGAACUGUGUUUUAGCAAAGUGUAAUUGGAUCGCCUGGCAAGAUCAUCUCAAACUAUGUCUCUGACCUUGCCUUUCAGUGGCUAUUUUGAGCACAAGAGGAGAAAGGAAAUGAUUCCUGAAUUAUAUCUUGUUUUUAAAAAUUAAGAUUAAUUAAUACUUGGUUUUAUGUUCAUUCCAUUGUAGGAACUUAGUGAUUAUUACAAAACAGUCAAAAUAGGUCAUAGCAAAAUGAACGUUUAAGAUUAGGUUAAAACAUUCCUCUGAAAUUUUAGUAUUCACUUUUGAAGUGUCAAUUACUAUAUUUCUGUAAUUUCUCAUUUUUUUCUUGGCUUAGAGUCAAGAUGAAAAAUGAUAUUUGAAUCAAAGACAUUGUUUUGUUAUAUAGCCACUCCUUUCUAAAAUGCAAAUCCACCCUCCCCUCACCAAUGCUUUAUUCUUUGUGCGCGCACACACACACACACACACACACACACACACACACACACACAGACAUACACAGAACCAGCACCCAAAUGGUAGAGGAGGUCCUUCCAAGACUUCUAGGACCUGGAUCAUGUAAGCAGUAGAUGAGAAAAUGAAGUAAGAGAUAUAGAGUAAUAACAAUAAAAGUCAAUGAUUUCAUUUUACAAAAAAGUCAUUGUGUAGUACUCAGAUAUUUUUAAGAGCAAGUAUUAUUAUGACUAAAGUAUAUUAUACUUCUAAAUUAUUAUGAUUCUCAUCUAAUUUCAAGCCACACAUAGGCGCCAUUUGAAAGCAUUUUGUGUUACAACCUAUCAACAAAAAUCAACUAAUAGUUUUAUAACGUGCAUAGGUUUACCCCAUGGGGAAUUAAAAUUUUUAUCUGCAAGUAUUUCUGUUGUUGUGAGACUUUAGGACAAGACAACAUUUGGUGUUAACAUAGAAGAAUAUUCUAUGGCUUUUUUAGCUUUAAAGUUCAUUACUCUAAAAUAAAGUACACGUGGUAUUUUUUUCUUCCUAGUGUUCUCUUAUUAUAUGUAGAGUAUUUUCGGUUGUUGUUUUUAACGUAUACAUUAUUUUUAUUAAGUCAUUUCAUAAAAGAUAAGAUAUAUACUAAUAGACCCUUGGUUUUCUCCUAAUUUAAUUAUUUCAAGUCAAGCAAAAUUGGGCAAUUUUCUUUCAGGAAAAAAAAAAUAUUGAGCAUGAUUUUGAGGUAAAACUGAUUAUUUACAGCAUCUUUUCUCUAAUAGGCUAACAUUUAUGAUGGAUCUUAUUUCAAAGUUGAUUAUUCUCAAAGAAAAGUGGAGAUAUUAGAAUUUCCGAGUAAAUUGCAUUGUUUUAAAAAGUACUUUAAUGCAUUGUUCACAUUGUUGCCAGCUAUUGACCAAAAAAGAGAAGAAGAAAAAAGAAAUAAAAAAAGCAGUAUCUGCUCCAAACGUCAAGUUUUGCAGUUUGAAAGACUUGUACAUUAUAAUUGUUUUUUUCUUUUUUGGAAAGCAGUAGUAAUUAAUACCAAAGGCAUAGACAAUUUAGGGCCAUAACCUCCCUUCCCCCCUCUCCACCUUUUUUUUUUUUUUUUUUUUUUUUUAACUUUAACCAUGAUAGGCAUCUCUGCAAGGUAGGUUUUAACAUAUUUUUUUCCUAAUUUUUUUCCCUCCAUUCAGUAAGAAGGAUAAGCUUUUAGAGUACCCAGUCACCGUGGUAACUGCCAAAAAAAUUCUCCUGAAGUUUGAAGAGGUCAGCUAGCAGGGUCAACAACCCUGGCCUCUCUCUGAGCUCGGUCUAGCAUGCCCCAGCCUGCGGUUGGAGUGUCAGGCCAGAUCUGACCCUGGGAGGUGGACCAUUCUGGCUCUGAUAUAAAUUUUUCGAGUCAGUUCAUGGCCUGGACUCUCCAGGUGGCCUCCAAAAUCGAUUUUGACCCCCUGACCCUGUCUCACGGAGGCAUAGCAUCCACCCUAAGUAAGGAUUUAGCCAGGAAUGACAGCUUUCCACUGAGUGUUAUUGGGGACAGUAUAAACAGUUUGGAAAGCAAGUAAGGAGGUGUGAGGGCUAGCAAUCAUUAAAAGCACAUUAAAAAACAAUUUUUAAAAAUCUUUAUUAGAGAAAGUUGUAAAUGCAUAUCUGUUACAGAAUUCCUGUGAUUUGUAGAGUUUUCUAGUCAGUUUUGAAUAUAAAUAGGUCACAUAUCUUUAUCUUUUUGCAUACUUUGUUACAAAUAUGCAAAUAAGAUAGGCAUACUUGCUACAAAAUAGGUACAGCAGGAAUGUAAUAUGUUCAGAAAAGGCAAACUGGUUAUUAAAACACAUUAACAGGUAAGGAGUUUCUAAUAUUUUAAAUACUAAAAUUUUACAUGUGUAUUUUGAAGUUUUUAAAAUGGAAAAAUAAAGAACCUUUAAAAAACCCAACAGUGUGGAAUAAAGAUAAACUUGUUGCACUCAAGGUACAUUUCUACUUUGUAAAGCAAGAAGCCAAUACACUCAGUUGGAUAAAAAUGAGAGAAAAAUUGUAAAUAUAGAGAGUUACAGCUUAUAGAGCUGAAGAGGAAUAAAACAAAAAAAAGUGUCUCUGAAUAACUUUAUGUAUUUUCAACAGUUUAAGAUAUCAGAAACUUGGAAAAUAAAUAUGAUAUAUAUAUAAAUCAUCA
rnacentral:lncRNA from 1 species